rnacentral:rRNA from 1 species
GUGUCAGCCGCCGCGGUAAUACGGAGGGGGCAAGCGUUGUUCGGAAUCAUUGGGCGUAAAGGGCGUGUAGGCGGCCGAUCAAGUCGGGUGUGAAAUCCCUCGGCUCAACCGAGGAACUGCACUCGAUACUGGUUGGCUAGAGUUCGGGAUGGGGUGGCGGAAUUCCCAGUGUAGCGGUGAAAUGCGUAGAUAUUGGGAAGAACACCGGUAGCGAAGGCGGCCACCUGGACCGAUACUGACGCUGAGGCGCGAAAGCCAGGGGAGCGAAUGGGAUUAGAUACCCCGGUAGUCCUGGCUGUAAACGAUGGGCACUUGGUGUGGCGGGUCUGACCCCUGCCGUGCCGUAGCUAACGCGUUAAGUGCCCCGCCUGGGGAGUACGGUCGCAAGGCUGAA